rnacentral:rRNA from 1 species
CACGUAGGGUGCGAGCGUUGUCCGGAAUUAUUGGGCGUAAAGCGCACGUAGGCGGCUUGGCAAGUCGGAUGUGAAAUCCCUCGGCUCAACCAAGGAAGUGCAUCCGAAACUGCCGAGCUUGAGUACUUAAGAGGAUCGCGGAAUUCCCGGUGUAGAGGUGAAAUUCGUAGAUAUCGGGAGGAACACCAGUGGCGAAGGCGGCGAUCUGGGAAGAUACUGACGCUGAGGUGCGAAAGCGUGGGGAGCAAACAGG